rnacentral:rRNA from 1 species
ACGCUCGACACCUACGGGAGGCAGCAGUGGGGAAUAUUGCACAAUGGGGGAAACCCUGAUGCAGCGACGCCGCGUGAGCGAAGAAGUAUUUCGGUAUGUAAAGCUCUAUCAGCAGGGAAGAUCAUGACGGUACCUGACUAAGAAGCUCCGGCUAAAUACGUGCCAGCAGCCGCGGUAAUCUGAGCGGGCUGGCAAGGC